GAUGAACGCUAGCGGGAGGCUUAAUACAUGCAAGUCGAGGGGUAACAGGGGCUUCGGCCCGCUGACGACCGGCGCACGGGUGAGUAACGCGUACGCAACUUAUCUCCAAGCGAGGGAUACGCCCUGGGAAACUGGGAUUAAUACCUCAUGUGAUUAUGAUGCCGCAUGGUGUUAUAAUUAAAGUUCAGGCGCUUGGAGAUGGGCGUGCGUCCUAUUAGCUAGUUGGUGAGGUAACGGCUCACCCAAGGCGACGAUAGGUAGGGGGCGUGAGAGCGUGGCCCCCCCANACGGGUACUGAGACACGGACCCGACUCCUACGGGAGGCAACAGUGAGGAAUAUUGCGCAAAUGGAGGCAACUCUGACGCAGCCAUGCCGCGUGCAGGAAGAAGGCGCUACGCGUUGUAAACUGCUUUUAACCGGGAGAACCCUCGACGUGUCGGAGGUUGACGGUACCGGAGGAAUAAGCACCGGCUAACUUCGUGCCAGCAGUCCGCGGUAAAGUCUAG
rnacentral:rRNA from 1 species